UGAAAGGACAUUGCUGACUGGAACCAGAGU
rnacentral:piRNA from 1 species